rnacentral:rRNA from 1 species
GACGAACGUUGGCGGCGUGCUUAAUACAUGCAAGUCAACGGAAGCAGUGGUAGCAAUAUCGCUGUGGAGGUGGCGCACGGGUGAGUAACACGUAGGUAAUCUGCCUUCAGGUCUGGCAUAACUCCGGGAAACCGGGGCUAAUAGCAGAUGAUGCAGCGGCUCGACAUCGAGACAGUUGUUAAAGCUAUGGCGCCUGAAGAUGAGCCUGCGUCUGAUUAGCUAGUUGGCGGGGUAACGGCCCACCAAGGCAACGAUCAGUAGCUGGUCUGAGAGGAUGAUCAGCCACACUGGAACUGAGACACGGUCCAGACUCCUACGGGAGGCAGCAGUAAGGAAUAUUGCUCAAUGGGAGAAAUCCUGAAGCAGCAACGCCGCGUGAGGGACGAAGGGCUUUUGCUUGUAAACCUCUGUAGUGAGAGAAAAAAAUCCCAAUCUUUGGGACAUGAUGGUAUCUCAAAAGUAAGCCCCGGCUAACUACGUG